rnacentral:misc_RNA from 1 species
UCUCCGUUAACCGAAGCGGUCUCCUUAAAGUUCCCCUUGCGGGGCAAUUAAGGACAGGGGUUGCGCUCGUUGCGGGACUUAACCCAACAUCUCACGACACGAGCUGACGACAGCCGUGCAACACCUGUGUACCUGUCCCGAAGGAGGUCCCUACUUUCAUAGGGAUUACAAGUACAUGUCAAGCCCUGGUAAGGUUCUACGCGUUGCGUCGUAUUAAACCACAUGCUCCACCGCUUGUGCGGGCCCCCGUCAAUUUCUUUGAGUUUUAACCUUGCGGCCGUACUCCCCAGGCGGAGAACUUAAUGCGUUAGCUUCGGCACACGAGGGGUCGAUACCUCGUACACCCAGUUCUCAUCGUUUACAGCGUGGACUAC